UACGUAGGGUGCGAGCGUUGUCCGGAAUUAUUGGGCGUAAAGAGCUCGUAGGCGGUGUGUCACGUCGGCCGUGAAAACCUGCAGCUUAACUGUGGGCGUGCGGUCGAUACGGGCAUCACUGGAGUUCGGCAGGGGAGACUGGAAUUCCUGGUGUAGCGGUGAAAUGCGCAGAUAUCAGGAGGAACACCGGUGGCGAAGGCGGGUCUCUGGGCCGAUACUGACGCUGAGGAGCGGAAGCGUGGGGAGCAAACAGG
rnacentral:rRNA from 1 species